GGGCAGGUUCCCGAGUCUGGUUAAAGGGGACAGACUGUAAAUCUGUUGCGCUUGCGCUUCGGAGGUUCAAAUCCUCCCCUGCCCA
rnacentral:tRNA from 1 species